rnacentral:rRNA from 1 species
CGGGUGAGUAACACGUAUCCAACCUGCCGUCUACUCUUGGACAGCCUUCUGAAAGGAAGAUUAAUACAAGAUGGCAUCAUGAGUCCGCAUGUUCACAUGAUUAAAGGUAUUCCGGUAGACGAUGGGGAUGCGUUCCAUUAGGUUGUUGGUGAGGUAACGGCCCACCAAGCCUUCGAUGGAUAGGGGUUCUGAGAGGAAGGUCCCCCACAUUGGAACUGAGACACGGUCCAAACUCCUACGGGAGGCAGCAGUGAGGAAUAUUGGUCAAUGGGCGCUAGCCUGAACCAGCCAAGUAGCGUGAAGGAUGAAGGCUCUAUGGGUCGUAAACUUCUUUUAUAUAAGAAUAAAGUGCAGUAUGUAUACUGUUUUGUAUGUAUUAUAUGAAUAAGGAUCGGCUAACUCCGUGCCAGCAGCCGCGGUAAUACGGAGGAUCCGAGCGUUAUCCGGAUUUAUUGGGUUUAAAGGGAGCGUAGGUGGACUGGUAAGUCAGUUGUGAAAGUUUGCGGUUCAACCGUAAAAUUGCAGUUGAUACUGUCAGUCUUGAGUACAGUAGAGGUGGGCGGAAUUCGUGGUGUAGCGGUGAAAUGCUUAGAUAUCACGAAGAACUCCGAUUGCGAAGGCAGCUCACUGGACUGCAA